UAUUGGCGAAGAUCUGGAUGCUGGAAGGUUGCAGGCUGCCCUCGCUGGGGCUCUCCUUGAGGUCCAUCGGGACCCUGUGCAGUUCUGCAACUGGCUUCAGGUUGACUGAAUCUCAGGGAAGAGUUCCCAGUCCUCUGAAUUCUGCUUAAACCUUGGCAUUCAAGGAAGAGAUCGCCAGGCAAGCAUCAGGCCAGACACUGGUAGUUUAUCCUGAGAGCCUGGCCGCACGCUGACAGGGAUGAGAAAACUCAGACCUGCCACAAUGAACUGCUGUGUCCAAAUCACAGGACCUGUGAAGUGAGAGCUGAGACUUCAUCCUGGCUAUGUCUACCUCUGAAGCAGGUUUUUAAAAGCAGACCCAAAUUUCUCCAUCUCAAAUACAGAAAAGGAUUUCUAGCACUCUCUGUAUGUCACACACAGACUACUUGCUCACAUUUGUAGAUGCCCUCCCUGCUUUCUCUGGGUCAAACAGCACCCUUGUUCUCCCUGUUUUGCUUUUACAAUCUAGGCUUCUCAUACAGAAGACUCCCUGACCCCCUGAUUCUUCUCACCAACCUUUGGCUCAUCAGUCUAAUUAAUAAGCGUGUUCCCCUUUAACUCUGUUCGAGACACUAUGUUGGCUUGGAGAAAACAAGGAGAAUAAAAUACACAUCCUACUGUUGAUCAACCUCAUGGCUCAGGAAAGUGAAGGCCAUGCCGACACACAGCUCUGUGCAACAGCUCUGAUCUCAUCUAGUCUCAUCUAUACCUAGCUAGAAACAAUGGGUACAAUUUCUGCCACAUUCUGGCUCCUCCCCAUCAACCAUUGCCCAUGCUAGGCUCUGUUACCUCCCCUCUUCUUCUCCUGGAGUCAGUUCUCUCUGUUCAGACACUUUUUUCUCAUAUGUGCAGAGAUGGACCCUACAGUAGAUCUCAUUACCCCACCCCAAUAUAAGCCCAUUCACUGCUCUUUCACCCCCAUAUCGGAUUGGAGGUUACAAGCAUGACUGGGCAAGGUGCUGUGAUAUAGUCAUGCAGACCUGGAGGUUUGUGUCUCCCAUUGGCUCUGCCUCGUCCUGCUCUGUGACCUUGGAGGAAGUUCCUAAUGGCCUCUGAACUUUCAUUUCCGCUCCUCCAUAGUAGAGGAGCUUUGGAAUGGCGAAGGAAUGAGAUAAAGCUAUGAAGUGUUUAUGCAAGUUAGACACUUAGCAGUUAGCACUCUGCUGGGAGAAGGUGUUUUGUUGAUCUUUGGUAUUCUCUUUCAGGUGACUGAGGAACCAUUUAAAGCUCACCAGGAUCAUAUUUGCCUCAGGUACUGCAUAUCUGAAAGCCAAGAUCAAACAUAAACUACCUUCUCUUCUGCAUCCUUUGCAUGGCCCAAAGAUGGCCUCAGGGUCUUCUUAACUCUUGCAAACAGGCUAGGCACUAUAGGAUAGGUGGAGGACCAGGAUAAAGGCACUAAUAGUGGCUUUCAUUGCAAGUCACUCAACUCUGUUCUGGGCUUUCUCAUGGAUCUGUCAAAUGUCAAGAGCACCACUGAACCCAUUUCACAGAAGAAUCCGAGAAUAGAGAGAAGGGCUACUUGGCCUAUGGUCCAGUGGCUGAAAACUUGAACAACUGACAGUCAAACUCAGGGGAGUCUGAGCUGGAAGAGACAGCCCACAGACCUGCACCAGAUGCCAGUGUAUACCACUGAAGCACUAGCAUAGAACUGGAGGACCAGAGAUGGAUAGUAUUUUUAAAGAGAUACCACCGUACCAUUCUCUGUCAUAGCUAGUCACUUGGCAAGAUGGCUAAUAAAAA